rnacentral:rRNA from 1 species
CCUGACUGCUAUCGGAAUGAUACUAAGCCAUGUGAGUCAUUGUAGCAAUACAAGGCAGACGGCUCAGUAACACGUAGCCAAUCUAACCUAUGGACGGGGAUAACCUCGGGAAACUGAGGAUAAACCCCGAUAGAUCAUUAUGCCUGGAAAGGUUUAUGGUCCAAAUGAUUCGUCGCCGUAGGAUGAGACUGCGGCCUAUCAGCUUGUUGGUGAGGUAAUGGCCCACCAAGGCUAUUACAGGUACGGGCUCUGAGAGGAGAAGCCCGGAGAUGGGUACUGAGACACGGACCCAGGCCCUAUGGGGCGCAGCAGGCGAGAAACCUUUGCAAUGUGCGCAAGCACGACAAGGUUAAUCCGAGUGUUUCCUGCUAAAGGAAUCUUUUGUUAGUCCUAAAAACACUAGUGAAUAAGGGGUGGGCAAGUUCUGGUGUCAGCCGCCGCGGUAAAACCAGCACCUCAAGUGGUCAGGAGGAUUAUUGGGCCUAAAGCAUCCGUAGCUUGCUCUGUAAGUUUCCGGUUAAAUCCAUUAGCUCAACUAAUGGGCUGCCGGAAAAACUGCAAAGCUAGGAAGUGGGAGAGGUAGACGGUACUCGGUAGGAAGGGGUAAAAUCCUUUGAUCUAUUGAUGACCACCUGUGGCGAAGGCGGUCUACCAGAACACGUUCGACAGUGAGGGAUGAAAGCUGGGGGAGCAAACCGGAUUAGAUACCCGGGUAGUCCCAGCUGUAAACGAUGCAGACUCGGUGAUGCCCUGGCUUGUGGCCAGUGCAGUGCCGCAGGGAAGCCGUUAAGUUUGCCGCCUGGGAAGUACGUACGCAAGUAUGAAACUUAAAGGAAUUGGCGGGGGAGCACCACAAGGGGUGAAGCCUGCGGUUC